rnacentral:sRNA from 1 species
GUUCGGCUCGAGCGUCAGCGAGAGAGCGUUGCCGCAGGCAACGACCCGAAGGGCGAAGCGCGCAGCGCUGAGUAAUCCUUCCCCCACCACCA